UACAGAGGGUGCUAGCGUUGUUCGGAAUCAUUGGGCGUAAAGGGCGUGUAGGCGGUUUGUUAAGUCAUGUGUGAAAGCCCCCGGCUCAACCGGGGAACGACGCAUGAAACUGGCAAGCUAGAGUACCGAAGAGGGGGGUGGAGUUCCCGGUGUAGCGGUGAAAUGCGUAGAUAUCGGGAGGAACACCUGUGGCGAAGGCGGCCCCCUGGUCGGAUACUGACGCUGAGACGCGAAAGCGUGGGGAGCAAACAGG
rnacentral:rRNA from 1 species